CUUGCUAAGGAUACUCACAUCAGGGUUUCCCAUACAUUCAUUAAUUUGUGGUGCCCCAUGUGUGUGUGUCUGUGAGUCUUUUUGAAUGUGUGUGUGUCUUUUUGAAUGUGUGAGUGAGCGUGUCAGUAAGUUUGAGUGUGUGUGUGUGUGUGUGCGUGAGUUUGUGUGUGUCUACCUCCAGGUUGUUGUGUUUUGGUGUGAGUGUGUCCACCUCCAUCUCCAGGUUUGUGUGUGUGUGUCCACCUCCAUAUCGGCGUGUGUAUGUGUGUGUGUGAGUGAAAUUUGCAACAAGAAGUCUGUAGAGCAGUCAUAGAAAGUGUAGCAAUGGCAUAGCAAAAGGGUUAAAUAUGAUAUAUUUAACCCUUUUGUUGUGCCUUAAUCCCCAAACACCACCAAUAUAAUCUAAUUCUGUGGGAAACACUGCACAUGUAUUUAUCAAAUAAAUUCCAGAAAUUCAUCACAAUGUUUAUAUACAAGAUGAGAAAAGGAGAGGAAAAUGGAGAGGACAAAAAAUAAAAUUAGGUAAUGAAGAGAGAAAAGGAGAUGAUUAAGGAAGGGAAAUGAGAUGGUAAGAAUGAAAAAGACAGAAAGAAAAAGAUAAAGAGCAGAGAAGAAAGAAAAGACAAAUUGAGAUGAACAGAGAAAGGAAAGAUGUAGUAGACUAAUGUAGUCAAACCCACCUUUGUCUGACGUAAAAGCUCAGCCAAAAGCUGGCCGGUAAGGCCUUUCUUCUUCCGAAAGAGGUCUAUCAGCCUUGGAGAGAAACGGUCAAGUUCAUCAAAGAAAUUCUCUUGCAGACUUUUCCCCACCACUCUGGAGAACUCGUAAUAAACCUGAAACAAAACAUGUAUUGCAUAUAAAGCUAAAAACAAGAAUCUAUGGACAAAUUGUAUUUAACAUUACAGUGACACAUACGUCUUUUUUAAACACUCGGCAGUAAUACAUACCUGGCUUUCUGUGAAAAGAGCUAGCCAUCGAUGUAACAACUGGCUGAUGGCAGGUUUGUUUUGGACAACUUCUUUUCUCCGAAGCGCAAAUGUCUCUUUCUUAACAAGGGACCCAUUUGGCUUUGUCUUCAUUUCAUUGACCAAAACCUGGCGAGCUUCUUCCAGGCUGUGGUCAUCCCUCCCCUCUGGAUAUUCAGGUAGGAAAUUUAAUUCUCCUUUCCUUGGCUUUUUUUCUUCCCUUUGUUAGAAGGGUCGGCAUUUGCAGUGUACCUUCCACGUUUACCACCAUUGACAGUGACAUCAACUCGUCCAAUCUGGCACAUUUUGGUUCUGUAGUUUCCCCAUCUUGAACUUGAGACUGUCCUUCCAUCCAUUCCAGCCGGAGGAUGACCUUGAUUAAGGAAGGGAAAUGAGAUGGUAAGAAUGAAAAAGACAGAAAGAAAAAGAAAAAGAGCAGAGAAGAAAGAAAAGACAAAUUGAGAUGAACAGAGAAAGGAAAGCGUCUUUUCUUAGCAUCUCUUCUUUAACAGAAGAGAUGCUAAGUUGUGCUCAAGCUGUUUUUCUAAAUCAUGAAGAUCAGUCUCACUAGCUUCUACACUGACAUCUUCUAAAUCGUCCAUAUCAUCAGCAUGUGACAUUUGGUCUUGUGCAGCAUCAAGGUCAUCGCUUACAUUAUCCAAACCAAUGAUUUCUGACUUUAAACUUUUCCAUUUCUGGUCCUGGUGUACUUUACUCUUGUGUGCUUUGAAAGUGGAGUAUAUACUUGUUUCAAAGUUACAGUCUUUAUACGGGCACCUGACUUUAUGGUUUACUUUUAAGUGUGUAGUACGCAGGUGAGUAAAGUAGUCAGUCUGAGAACAAGACUCGGCAAACCCACAUGACAGACAGCAAAAUUUAACUGGUGCAUCUGGUUGCUGCUGAUCAGGAGUUUUGGUGUGAAGGCGAGAUAAAUGUACUUUUAGUGCAUUGAGUGAUUUAAAUGUACAUGGACAUUCCUGAUAUAAACAAGGAAAAGGCUGUGUUCUUGCAUAACUUCCAUGUUUUAGCCUAUAAUGUUAAAAUAGCUGUGCUCUCUUUUCACAGUUAAGAGGGCAAUACUUACACUUCCAAAGCAUAUUUUUCAGAGGUUGGUAUUCAGUUUGUUGCUAAUAUCAGGAUACUGGGUUCAAAGGAAUCUCUUCCUAUGACCUGCAACACAAUAAAACAAAGAAAAUAAGAGACAAGGGAACUUAUAUAAGCUACAGUAGUCUAAUGCAACAAUAUACCUGUAUUUUCAAAGUAGCUAACAUUAAAGAUAUAAUGUAAUUAUUAGGGGUGUAAAGUUAUUGCUAAUAUACUCUGUCAUAAUCCGGUUGCAAUUCACUUUCUAUUAAGUGCUUGAAGGUAAAAUAAUCACUAAUGCGAGACAUAUGUCAUACAUAAGACAAUAAUACAAUGAACGGUCAAAGUCAUUUACAUUUAACGUUAAUACUAGGAAAAAACAAUCCAAUGUGGUCGCUAACACUCUUCUUCCCACUGAGUGCGUGUCCCUCGCUCAGCGUGGAUCGGGCUGUGUCACCAAGACGCUAAAGCUACAGGUGAAAAAUGUCCAGUCGAACUGGUUACAACAACAGCUUUACACUGCUAACAAAAGCCCCUCCAGUAAGAAAAAAGUAACGUUGCCCUCCCUUCCCCGCCGCCAUGAAUGUGCGUGGUUUUCGCCCGCGGCGCCUCUUAGGCCGGCUGAGACGCUUGCGCCACGCAUCCAGAGAGGCAGUUCAAAGCCGGGCGGCGCCCGCCAAGUCGCUACAGGUGGAAAAUGUCCUGUUGAACUGGUUAAAACUGGUUAAAACGACAGUUUUCCAAGUUCACAAGCGCGUUAAGCGAGAAAGGCAAUUUGGCUAGCUAACGUUAAGCCAUCAAACAGGUGGUUACAGGUGAUGUCUGUUGAACUUAAUAAAACGUCUUACUCUAAAGUUACUCAUAAAAAGCCCCUCCAGUGAUAAAAGUGACUUACUUAGCUAGCUAAGUACCUUAACGGAUGACAAUGUUAAUGUCCAUCGACGUCAAACUGCUUCACUUGGACUUCUCACAAACAGCGCACCAAGUGAAAAAAAAACUUGUAACGUAACGUUAUCGUUAACUAGCAGGUGAAAAUGGCUGCCGACCUAGAUUAAGAUAAUGUCCUACUCACCAGCAAACCCCUUGUAUCAACACACAAACACUGAAACAUUAAGUUGAAUAACUCCUCAGCAGCAACGUUAGUUAAAUCAAAGUUACUUACCAUCUCUGGCGAGUUUUAGCAGAAACUUAACUGUCCGCGGCGAGAAAGUGGUGUCUUCUCGGCAAAAAGCAUAGACAUGGCGGCAAAGUGACGGCGAUCACGUUCCCAUCGUGCAUUGCAUGACUAAAACUUGGGAAUUUUAAGCUAUUCCACUUAAAGUUGUUCACAGGCUCAACUAGGUCUACAAAUUAGUAUUAGUGUCAAAGAAUUACUCAACCUCGAGCCAAUAGCCUUCGAGUAUGAGAUGUGACAGAGUAUGUGAUUUGUUGAAUGUAGUAACGAAUACGCCCUUCAAUGAACGAGUUUCAUAUGAGUCUGAACUAGAUCUAGAGAUCUUAUCGUUCGACAAUGAAAUGACUGAACUGGCUCACAUGUCAUUCGUAAACGAACUGAAUGAACGGAUACAUGUCGUUCGUGAAUGAAAUGAACUGGCACAUAGCUUAUCUUGUUCGUGAACGAAAUGAAUUAGAGUAAACUGGGUUAGUCUGCCAUUUAGCAUGUCAAUCUCGGAAAAUGCAAAGCGCAGUUAUAGGUACAGUACUGUGCACAUACGCUCGUUUUGAUAUUUAGCAACUCCACGUUUAAUCCAUAGACAGUAAAAGAAUCCCCAAUUUAUGGAUGUGAAUAUAGAAUAUACAAACUGUCUGACCAAACAAUUAAAAUGCUAAUUAGGCAAGAAACCUUGUGCUUUGUUCAUCUGAACAACUCAAUUAGACUUUAUAUAUUGAAUGCGAUUAUACACACAUUUUAAUAAAGCCAGAUUAGUUUUUGUAACAAGUGAAUACGUUCGUUGACUUAAGACAUAACACAGAAUACACGCUUUUUUGCCAUCUGCUUGCAUAUUUUGUGUAAAACGAAGAAAUUAUCACUGAACGAAUCUGAACGAAUCAUUUUGGUGAACGAACUGAAAAUGAACAAAUCUCUAGAAAGAAUCAUAAUUUCCACCACUAAUUAGUGCUGCAACGACGCGUCGACGUCAUUGAUUAUGUCAACUACAAAAAUACAUCGACGCGCCACACUGUUUACAUCUCGCGUAAUGGCAUAUUGGGAAUGGAGAAAGUGGCUUUCUAUCACAAAACAGAGACCACUGUUAUCAAAAGUAUUGGAAAUUUUUUAAACAGAGGACAAAUAAAAUUUGUCAAAUUACCCAGCCGGCACAUGACCGACCUUCAACGUGAAAUAUGGUUGAAAUAAGGUCAGUUGUGGUUUCAACGUUGAAACAACGUUGAUUCAACGUUUAAAGCUGAAUGGUUGAAAAACAUCAAGCACAUGACCAACUUUCAAUGUUGAAAUAUGGUUGAAAUAAGGUCAGUUGUGGUUUCAACGUUGAAACAACGUUGAUUCAACGUUUAAAGCUGAAUGGUUGAAAAACAUCCAGCACAUGACCAACUUUCAAUGUUGAAAUAUGGUUGAAAUAAGGUCAGUUGUGGUUUCAACGUUGAAACAACGUUGAUUCAACGUUUAAAGAUGAACUGUUGAAAAACUUCCAGCACAUAACCAACUUUCAACAUUGAAAUAUGGUUGAAAUAAGGUCAGUUGUUUUAAUGAAACAAAGUUAAAAAUGUUUAAUGCUAAAUGGUAGAAAAAGGUUAACAAGCUUUUAAAUUAUUUAUAUUAAAUUAUUUAAAUUAAUUUAUUAUUUUUAAUAGCAUUUUAAAAUAUUUUAGUCAUGAUACCUAUUCUAAAAUCUAAAGGUAUAUGUUAAAUAUUAUCAUCAUUAACAACAAUAAAACUAUAUACAUUUCAACUCCCAUUGGUAGUUUUAUUUUAUUACUUCUAUCAUGAUUGGUUAAUCUGGCUGUCAUUCAGGAAACUGGACAAUGAAUCGGUUCGCGCCUUUCUACAUUUAAAAAUAUGACCGUUAUUGUCGUCUUUCUGUGAGUGAGGCGGCUAACUGUGAGCUGCUGCUCGUUAUAACUGACUGCUCGGUCGGUCCCGAAUUAUUUCAUAUUUGCGUGUACAUUUUUUUUUAUUCGAGCGAAUUUGAGUCGUGACAUGUCAAUGGAGAACAAAAACUGUGAACACAAGAAGGGUCAGGUGUUCUGCGAGGUCCUGAAAACAUCCUGGCAAAAUGAGGUAAGAAAAUCGCUAACGUUAUCUUUAUUAUCUUUUGAAAAUAGUAAAGUAUUACCAGAGUUUACAAAUGGGUAGCUUAAAGGACAUGUAACCGGCAGAUAAAUAAAUAGCCGUGUGUCUAUUUUUGCAUUGCUUUAUCACAGCUGAUCAAGUUAGAUGCUCACCUACUGUGUUGCUGGUAAGAGAGAUUUAGAGAUGGUUUAGAGAUUUUCCCAUAUUUUCCUGAUAUGAAUCCCAUGCAUUAGGUGUGUUAUAUAUGUUUGUAUUCUUAUAAUAGUUUCAAAGUGUUUUCUGAAACAUAUAAGUGCAAAUGUCGGUAUUUAAAUUAUAUAUUUUUAAUGAAUUAAUGAAAAUGAAUAAAUAAAAAAAAGGAUUGUUUAAAGCCAUGGUUCUCAAAGGGUCAGGCCCCCUCUAGUUGAUAUGCAGGUGAAUCACUAAAUUAAACUAAUUAAUGUUAAUACAUUUUAACUUAAUCUUUGAGUAAGGUUUUUUUUUUUUGCACAUUUAAGUAUGUUAGAGUUAAAGUACAGUACAGUUUUGUAACUUUUGUUACAUAAUUACAUUUAAAAUUACAUUUUAAUUAAAACUUUUUUUUUCAUUUACCUGUGUAUGUAAGCACAGUUGUAGUGUUAAUGUUCAAACUGUAUUUACCAUGGUAAAGUGUCUGUCAACAAUUAAUAUUCUUAUUAGAAAUAAAACUGCCUCAUUUUUUAACUGUAGAGCUGUAGCUGAAUAGUUUGGCCUACUACACUGCUGAAAUGUAAUGUUGGUCAUUAUGGUGGAACUUAAUAUUUAAUAACAAAUAUUUUCUGAAGUGGUACUUGGUAUAAAAAGUUUGAGAACCAGUGGUUUAAAGAAAUGGUAUAAUAUGAAAUCCUGCUUUUUAAGAACUUUUCAGUAAACCAUUUCUUCUUUCCCCUUGUAGAGUCAUCGAGGAUCCAGUUUAUUCUUGAAACAUUGAAGUUUGCGCUCUGCAAGUGAACGACGCCUUGUGGUGCCAUCCCAAAGAGGUUCAAAAUCACUCUCUCUGACCUUUUCCUGGACUGUGCCCAGCUGGUGGAAUGACCUCCCAAUCUCAAUCCGAACUGCUGAGUCUUUACUCAUUUUCAAGAAACAUCUUAAGACCCAUCUUUUUCACCAGAACUUAACCAGCUAAUGCUAGCACUUUUCCUUCUUUUCUUGUCUUUCAUAUAAAAAAAAAAAACCUGGCGAUGCGUUCUGUGCUAGACUAACUGAGACUUGACAUAGCACUUGUAUCCUGUUGUUGUUCGCUUGUACACCUGACUGCUUCUGUUGUUCUCAUUUGUAAGUUGCUUUGGAUAAAAGCGUCUGUUAAAUGAUUAAAUGUAAAUGUUUAUACAGGACGGUACAGAAAGUGCACAAGUGGGAGAGAGUGGAGGGGACGGCGUCAGAAAGGACCUAGCGCUGGGACACUUUCAAGGAUCACCCGAAGCACAACCACACUAUAUACACGAGGCUGUUGUUUCUAACAUUUUAGAGUGCCCUGCAGUAGAAAUCUCAUUCUGCAUUCCCCACGGUAAAGAAGAUACAGUCCGGGGGGGUUCCCAUUAGAAAUCAACUGGUUGAAGGUUCCCUGCUCGUACUGUGCAACACAUUUUCACUGCACAAAUGUACACAACUUGAAAUGAGACACAUUACUAAAACAUGUUUUUGACAGAAACUGUAGUUUUCCACCAAAAUAAAAGAUCCACUGGUUUCAGUCAUAAAGGUACAAGGGUUUGUCUUGUAAGUGCUGCAAAAAAUAUGCAUUUUUGUGCCAAAUUAUUUUACAAAAACCUUUAAAUAUUAUGGUAUUUGGAUUGUUCUACUACAUGUUUUUAGCAUUACCUCCAUGCAUACUCUGCAUAAUAAAGUGUGGGAUUAUUUU